rnacentral:rRNA from 1 species
AUUGAACGCUGGCGGCAGGCUUAACACAUGCAAGUCGAGCGGAGAUAUGGUGCUUGCACUAUAUCUUAGCGGCGGACGGGUGAGUAAUGCUUAGGAAUCUGCCUAUUAGUGGGGGACAACAUUCCGAAAGGAAUGCUAAUACCGCAUACGCCCUACGGGGGAAAGCAGGGGAUCUUCGGACCUUGUGCUAAUAGAUGAGCCUAAGUCGGAUUAGCUAGUUGGUGGGGUAAAGGCCUACCAAGGCGACGAUCUGUAGCGGGUCUGAGAGGAUGAUCCGCAACACUGGGACUGAGACACGGCCCAGACUCCUACGGGAGGCAGCAGUGGGGAAUAUUGGACAAUGGGCGCAAGCCUGAUCCAGCCAUGCCGCGUGUGUGAAGAAGGCCUUUUGGUUGUAAAGCACUUUAAGCGAGGAGGAGGCUACUCUAGUUAAUACCUAGGGAUAGUGGACGUUACUCGCAGAAUAAGCACCGGCUAACUCUGUGCCAGCCGCCGCGGUAA